GGAUUUCUGAGUUUGAGGCCAGCCUGGUCUACAGAGUGAGUUCCAGGACAGCCAGGGAUACACAGAGAAACCCUGUCUCGAAAAAAAACAACAACAACAACAAAAAAAAACCAACCAAACAAACAAACAAAAAAAGAUUUGAACUGCAAGCACGAAACAAAUGGUGUGAAUAUACUCAAAUAGACCCACACACACAUAUUCUAUCUUCUUAAAAUUUAAAGUAAUUACAAGUUUACAGAAAAGUGGCCAAAAAAAAAAAAAAAAAAAACACCAAAAAACCCCAACCUCACCAUUUCCCAGAACCCUUCCUCGAAUUUCACAGUGCGUUAACAGUUGACACAUGUUUCAUCUCUCAGUGUACACCCAUUAUAGUACAACAAAAACAGACAAAUCACUGAUUGACAGCACGAACACAUACCCGAGGUAGCCCAGUUCCUCUGGUUUUCAUGCUGAUUUAGUCUUUAUUAGAAAAGUUCCUCAGCCUUUCAAUUUGACAUUGGCAUUUUUAUGGGGCACAGGCCUUGUGUAGGCCUUGUGUUUUGUAGACUGUCACCCAAUUUAUGUCUGCCUGACAUUUCCCUCAUGACUGCAUCCUGUGUAUCCUAUAUUGUUGUCAGGAAUCUCAGAAGUGAUUUGGGCUCUCAGUGCAUUGUAUGAGGUGGCACACAACACUGUAUGUCCCACUAGUAAAGAUCUUAACUUAGGUUACUUAGGUAAUAAAUUGUUUGCCAGGUUUCCCCAAUGUUAAGUAAAUACCCUCUGUGUAAUUUGUAACUAACCCCAAAGAUAGAGUGAGACUCUGUAAAGCUGGUUCUCACAGACUUUCACAUACUAGUUUUAACACAUGAUUGAGAAAUAACAGACGAUGCUAUAAAGCCAAAAUGGUUUAUCUCAAAUCUCUGCUCUUUUUUUUUUUUUUUUGCAUGUUUAUGUUUGUGAUGUAUUUGUGUUUGCAGUGUGUAGGUGCAGGUGUGUGUAUGAGUGUGUGAAGCAUGCAGGAGUUGAGUAUUCUAGCUGUUGAAGUUGCCCUUAAGUCAGGGAUUUCAGGCAGCCAAUAGAUCUGCUUUAAAAAAAAAAAAAAAAAGAAAAAACAUGGGUUCUGAAGAUUCAAACUUUUUUCCUCACACUCGGCUGGGCAAGUGCUUUAUCCACUGAGCGCUCUCUCCAGCUUGUACUCUUAAAUUAAAAACAAACAACCAACCCCAAAACCUCUGUAGCUAUGAUUUCUUUAAAAAACAAACAAACAAACAAACAGACCCAAGACAUGUUUUUACUAAUGACAUUUUUACUACCCAAGCCAUUCCAGUUUCAGCUGAUCUGUGUCACUGAGCAAUGUCCUUCUGGAGGAAAUCUUCAAAGUCAUCUGAACGAAGGUGCUUUUGUUUAUUUUGUCUUUUGGAGAUAAGGUCUUGUCUAGACUUGGCUGGCCUAAGACUUAUAGUAAUCCUCCUGUCUCUGUGUAUCAAAUAUUGGUAGUAUAGUCACUCUGUUAGGACACCCAUCAGUGAAGGCAUGUCUACCAAGUUAUACAGCUAGAGAGUGCACUCAAAGAAAAUAGUCUAGAAUUUGCAGUUGGUAUUCUUUUUUUUUGUUUUGUUUUGUUUUUUUGUUUUUUCGAGACAGGGUUUCUCUGUAUUCUUGCUGAGUUAUUGUAUGAGUUAUUAUUAAUUUGUUUUUAAAAUUUUUUGUCGGUUAGUAAGAGCCUAAAAAUUUUUUUAUGUAGUAAGUGAAGCAAUACUUUCAGGUCAUUUGAGUGCUCUUGUUUCUGUGUUCAUUGGCAGACAGGACGGAGCAUCUGUCAUGACUGAGAGCUGUGAACUAUUAAGGACAGGACAUUUUUCAGAACCCAUUGUUGAACAUUGAUGAAUGAUAAUGAACUCUAUGAUUCACAUGCAAAUUUAAAUUUCAUUUUGAAAGAAGGGAGCCGAUUUUUGUGUGAUUCUGAAACAAAAUUUAUUGCAUAAAGUGAUUUCAUUAAAAUUAAUGCUGUCUGCCAAUGUGUCUACUAAGAGUCUUGUCUGUUUUUAAAAUGAAGUAAAUUGACUGUUUUUAAUAUUAUAAUCAAUGUCAUAUGACAUUUCUAGUCAUGGUUGAAAGCUUCUAUGUUUUAUUACUAAAGAGGUUAAAGCAGUUUAAGUACAGAAAUGUAAUCUACAUUUUAUUAUGACAAAAUGUAUGUUAAGUAGGGAUAGAAGACUUUAAGUAUGUAUUUAAUCCCUUUACAUAGUAUUUGGCAAUGUUUUUUAGUUAAGAAGGAAAAACAAAACAAAGUCUCACUCCCUUCCCCCACCCCUCUGUACCUGCUCCCUGUGUCCUCAUUCCAUUUACUUUCUUAAAGGUGGUUGGGAAGAAAUAGGUUAGUGCAGCUUUUACUACUCUAGACUAUGAGGGGGUUUGCCAGGGUGCUAGAACUCAGAGUUGCAGUGAUGAGAAUGCUAAGAAACUCACUGUAAACAAAAUAGUGUCAGUAGUGUUGAGUUUGAGUAGGAGAAGGGCCAGGAUGUGUGCACUGGACUAGCUCAUCGAGAGUGUUUGUGACCAAAGAGAUUGGCUUAGUGCCGUGGAAGAGAUGGAAGCCAGCUUGCUGUGAGUAAAGGAGGAAAAGGCAAGCUAGUAGGGGGAUCUGUGGAUGAUAAGUUUGGCUCUCAGAGGGUAUAGGGAGGGUGAUGAUCUCUUUAAACCCUGCACUCAAGAAGUAUGCUACUCAGUAACAGACCAGUCAGCUUUAUACAGGCAAAUGGCUGGAAAGCG
rnacentral:lncRNA from 1 species